rnacentral:sRNA from 1 species
ACCAGGCAUGGUGACGCACACCUGUAAUCCCAGAAGCUCAGGAGGCUGAGGCAGGAGGAUCACGAAUUCAAAGCCAGCCUCAGCAAAAGUGAAUCUCUAAGCAACUCUGUGAGACCCUGUCUCUA